UACUAGGGGUGCAAGCGUUGUCCGGAAUCAUUGGGCGUAAAGGGUGCGUAGGCGUCCAGGAAAGUUAUUUGUUAAAGCCUCCGGCUUAACCGGAGAAAUGCAAGUAAAACUAUCUGGAUAGAGUUUAAGAGAGGAAAAUGGAAUUCCUGGUGUAGCGGUGACAUGCGUAGAUAUCAGGAGGAACAUCAAUGGCGAAGGCAGUUUUCUGGCUUAAAACUGACGCUGAGGCACGAAAGCGUGGGGAGCAAACAGG
rnacentral:rRNA from 1 species